rnacentral:misc_RNA from 1 species
GGCCGCGAAACCCCCCUCCACCUCGCCGUCCGCCUCGCCGACCCCACCGCCGCCGAGAUGCUCAUGUGCGCUGGCGCCGACUGGAGCCUCCAGAACGACCAGGGCUGGUCCCCCCUCCAGGAAUCCAUCUGCGCCCGCGAGGAAACCCUAGCCCGCAUCAUCGUCCGCCACUACCAGCCCCUCGCCUGGGCCAAGUGGUGCCGCCGCCUCCCCCGCCUCACCGCCACCAUGCGCCGGAUGCGCGACUUCUACAUGGAGAUCACCUUCCACUUCGAGAGCUCCGUCAUCCCCUUCGUCUCCCGUAUUGCUCCCUCGGACACCUACAAGAUCUGGAAGCGCGGCCCCAACCUUCGCGCCG